GUAUCUGAAAUCAAGCAGGACCACCCGCUGAACUUAAGCAUAUCACUAAGCGGAGGAGAAGAAAAUAACUAUGAUUGCCUCAGUAACGGCGAGUGAAGCGGCAAAAGCCCAAAAUGUAAAUCUUGUGCACAUCGUGUACACGAAUUGUAAUCUAUAGAGAGUUCACUCAACGGGCGGUGGCGCAGAAGUGACCCCGAACGGUCCGCCAAAGAGGGUGACAGCCCCGUAUGUGGUGCCAUCGCUUAACGAGUGGGUUCUUGACGAGUCGGGUUGUUUUGUAUUGCAGCCCUAAGUGGGAGAUAAACUUCUUCUAAGGCUAAAUAUAUAUGGGAAACCGAUAGCGAACAAGUACUGUGAAGGAAAGAUGAAAAGAACUUUGAAAAGAGAGUCAAAAGACUUGAAAUCGUUGAGAAGGAAGGAGUAGAAAUUUAUUCUUCGGCGUAGACCGGGGGUAGUCGCCUAACCAUUGCUGGCUGAGAGAACUUUACGGGCUCCGGUUGGUACCUGGGGAAGUGGCUGCUUUGGUCUGCGUCGUGAGGCAAGAUGGGGUCGUGCGGCCACAAAAGCUUCCUACAAAUCGCUACGUAUGUGGCAUUGUAGGUGUGCCGGUGGAAGUGCGGCCUGAGGAUGCUUCGGCGAUCUUGCCAAAAUGGUUUUUACUCACCCGUCUUGAAACACGGACCAAGGAGUCUAACAUAUAUGCGAGUGUGCUGGUGGAAAAACCAACACGCGUAAUGAAGGUGAUUGAUGCCAAGCGCAAGCAGCAGCAUCGACCGACCAUGAUCCUCCGGUGAAAGGUUUGAGUACGAGCAUACAUGUUAGGACCCGAAAGAUGGUGGACUAUGCCUGAGUAGGGUGAAGCCAGGGGAAACUCUGGUGGAGGCUCGUAGCGGUACUGACGUGCAAAUCGUUCGUCAAACUUGGGUAUAGGGGCGAAAGACUAAUCGAACCAUCUAGUAGCUGGUUCCCUCCGAAGUUUCCCUCAGGAUAGCUGGGACAAAUACGCAGUUUUAUUAGGUAAAGCGAAUGAUUAGAGGCAUCGGGGGUAAAAUGCCCUCGACCUAUUCUCAAACUCUAAAUUGGUAAGAACCCUGGCCUUUCUUAAUUGAGGCAUGGGGGCUCAAUGCGUGUCCCAAGUGGGCCAUUUUUGGUAAGCAGAACUGGCGAUGAGGGAUGCUCCUAACGUCGAGUUAAGGUGCCCAACUGCACGCUCAUCAGAAACUACAAAGGGUGUUGGUUCAUCCAAACAGCAGGACGGUGGCCAUGGAAGUCGGAACCCGCUAAGGAGUGUGUAACAACUCCCCUGCCGAAUGGACUAGCCCCGAAAAUGGAUGGCGCUCAAGCGUGCGACCGAUACUCGACCAUU
rnacentral:rRNA from 1 species